ACAGACUUAAAUUACUGUAAACUCCUGAACUGCAUGUGUUUACAUUUAUUUUUAUAGAAAUCUCGUUUAAUCAAACCACACACGGUUACGCAGUGUGGAGACAGCAGCAGAACUGUAUUAAUAAAUAAAAAUGAAAGUGUUCAGAAAACAAUGAGUCAAAGAAAUGCUUUCCAUAGAGAACCAGCUCCCUCAUCUUCAUGUUUGGAUAACUGUAGCAGAAAACAACAUGUGAAAAAAAGAGGCCCGAAAAGAUGGAAUAUUUCAGAGCACAGGGCUAUUUCCCAGAAGAAAGCAAGACCUCAUGAACGACAGAUACCUCCUGUUUCCCUAUUGGAGAAGGAUCACCGAGUUUCACUGGUACCUCUUCCUAAGAGCCAACACAUGCUUCUGGAGAAAUCUGAAGUUGCCAACAUUAAAAAAGAAGACAGUGACCCAGAAAUCAUCUGUGUAAUGGCGUCUGAGGAUGAGACUGAAGAUUUGUUUAAGUGUGGGGAAAGUAGAGAAUUUCUUUGGUUGAACAAAGGUUCAUUUGGAGGAAAACAGAAACGGCGUGACUUACAAAGGUAUAUUUGUUUUGAUCAGAAGGAUGCUACAAAAAUAAAGGGAAAUAAUUUGCCGCCUUCAAAAUUGGAAAGUGCAUUGGCUGAAGAUCAAAAAGGAUGUGCUGAAGGAAAAGCCCAAGUUGCAAUGCAGGAGACAGGUGCUGUGGCACACAUAGAAGAGUCUUCCCAGUGUAUGUCUGGAAAGAAAACGGUAGAAACUUUAACCUCUCUUUUAAGUAAUUGACCGAAUAGAAUGGGAUCUUACAAGAGCUUACAAUGGAGCUGUCAUAAAUGCUGGACUUCUGUCUUUGAUCCUGCGUAUAAUUCAGUUGCUGGCACUAACAGUGGAGAUUUUAAAACAUAGGAAACAAAUACUGCAUAGGAAAUAUUUAACUAUUCAAGAAUCAAAUGCUCCAAAAAAAAGAUUACACUGAUCUACAAUUUUUGAGAAGUCGUCUGCUUCAGAGAUAAAAUGUGGUAUUUUAUUAUGUAUUUUGAUGUGCUGAAUUCAAAUAUGACAAUUAAAACAACUGAUUGGCUACUGUUUCUAAGAUAUUUAAGUUUUUACAUUUUAUGUCUAUGUAUAUUGUGUAGAUAGUAG
rnacentral:lncRNA from 1 species